rnacentral:rRNA from 1 species
UGAGAGGUUGAACGGCCACAUUGGGACUGAGACACGGCCCAGACUCCUACGGGAGGCAGCAG